AGCGAACGCUGGCGGCAGGCUUAACACAUGCAAGUCGAGCGGGCACUUUCGGGUGUCAGCGGCGGACGGGUGAGUAACGCGUGGGAACGUGCCCUCUGGUUCGGAAUAACUCCGGGAAACUUGAGCUAAUACCGGAUACGCCCUUUUGGGGAAAGGCUUGCUGCCGGAGGAUCGGCCCGCGUCUGAUUAGCUAGUUGGUGAGGUAACGGCUCACCAAGGCGACGAUCAGUAGCUGGUCUGAGAGGAUGAUCAGCCACACUGGGACUGAGACACGGCCCAGACUCCUACGGGAGGCAGCAGUGGGGAAUAUUGGACAAUGGGCGCAAGCCUGAUCCAGCCAUGCCGCGUGAGUGAUGAAGGCCUUAGGGUUGUAAAGCUCUUUUAUCCGGGACGAUAAUGACGGUACCGGAGGAAUAAGCCCCGGCUAACUUCGUG
rnacentral:rRNA from 1 species